rnacentral:rRNA from 1 species
CGAUCUGGCUCAGGACGAACGCUGGCGGCGUGCUUAACACAUGCAAGUCGAGCGAUGAAGCUCUUCGGAAGUGGAUUAGCGGCGGACGGGUGAGUAACACGUGGGUAACCUGCCUCAUAGAGGGGAAUAGCCUUCCGAAAGGAAGAUUAAUACCGCAUAAGAUUGUAAUAUCGCAUGAUAUAGCAAUUAAAGGAGUAAUCCGCUAUGAGAUGGACCCGCGUCGCAUUAGCUAGUUGGUGAGGUAACGGCUCACCAAGGCGACGAUGCGUAGCCGACCUGAGAGGGUGAUCGGCCACAUUGGGACUGAGACACGGCCCAGACUCCUACGGGAGGCAGCAGUGGGGAAUAUUGCACAAUGGGGGAAACCCUGAUGCAGCCAACGCCGCGUGAGUGAUGACGGUCUUCGGAUUGUAAAGCUCUGUCUUCAGGGACGAUAAUGACGGUACCUGAGGAGGAAGCCACGGCUAACUACGUGCCAGCCGCUGC